rnacentral:rRNA from 1 species
AGGGUGAUCGGCCACACUGGAACUGAGACACGGUCCAGACUCCUACGGGAGGCAGCAGUAGGGAAUCUUCCGCAAUGGGCGAGAGCAACGCCGCGUGAGUGAUGAAGGGUUUCGGCUCGUAAAACUCUGUUAUUAGGGAAGAACAAACGUGUAAGUAACUGUGCACGUCUUGACGGUACCUAAUCAGAAAGCCACGGCUAACUACGUGCCAGCAGCCGCGGUAAUACGCGUUAUCCGGAAUUGGGCGUAAAGCGCGCGUAGGCGGUUUCUUAAGUCUGAUGUGAAAGCCCACGGCUCAACCGUGGAGGGUCAUUGGAAACUGGGAGACUUGAGUGCAGAAGAGGAAAGUGGAAUUCCAUGUGUUGCGCGAUAUGGAGGAACACCAGUGGCGAAGUCUGGUCUGUAACUGACGCUGAUGUGCGAAAGCGUGGGGAUCAAACAGGAUUAGAUACCCUGGUAGUCCACGCCGUAAACGAUGAGUGCUAAGUGUGGGGUUUGCCCCUUAGUGCUGCAGCUAACGCAUUAAGCACUCCGCCUGGGGAGUACGGUUGAAACUCAAAGGAAUUGACGGGGACCCGCACAAGCGGUGGAGCAUGUGGUUUAAUUCGAACGCGAAGAACCUUACCAAAUCUUGACAUCCUUUGACCACUCUAGAGAUAGAGCUUUCCCCUUCGGGGGACAAAGUGACAGGUGGUGCAUGGUUGUCGUCAGCUCGUGUUGGGUUAAGUCCCGCAACGAGCGCAACCCUUAAACUUAGUUGCCAGCAUUUAGUUGGGCACUCUAGGUUGACUGCCGGUGACAACGGAGGAAGGUGGGGAUGACGUCAAAUCAUCAUGCCCCUUAUGAUUUGGGCUACACACAAUGGACAAUACAAAGGGCAGCUAAACCGCGAGGUCAUGCAAAUCCCAUAAAGUUGUUCUCAGUUCGGAUUGUAGUAUCGACUACAUGAAGCUGGAAUCGCUAGUAAUAGAGCAUGCUACGGUGAAUACGUUCCCGGGUCUUGUACACACCGCCCGUCACACCACGAGAGUUUGUAAC